rnacentral:rRNA from 1 species
AUGGAAGGGAGAACUUGGAACAAGUUCGUUUUUAACGAUGGAUUUGUGUUUCGUGCUAACAAGCUAUGCAUUCCAGCUAGCUCCGUUGGUCUUUUCUUGUUGCAGGAGGCGCAUGGAGGAGGAUUAAUGGGACACUUUGGUGUCAAGAAGAUGGAGGAUAUACUUCCUACACAUUUCUUUUGGCCAAAGAUGAGACGGUAUGUUGAGUGUUUUGUUGCUCGUUGCACAACAUGUCAAAAAGCUAAGUCACGACUCAAUCCUCAUGGUUUAUAUAUGCUUUUGCCUGUACCUAGUGUUCCUUGGGAGGAUAUAUCGAUGGACUUUGUUUUAGGUUUACCUCGAACAAAGAAGGGGAGGGAUAGCAUAUUUUUUGUCGUGGAUAGGUUCUCAAAAAUGGCACACUUUAUACCAUAUCAUAAAAGCGAUGAUGCUGUUAAUGUUGCUGAUUUGUUCUUUCGUGAAAUUAUUCGCUUGCAUGGUGUGCCAAAUACUAUUGUUUCAGAUCGUGAUACUAAAUUUCUUUGCCACUUUUGGAGAUGUUUAUGGGCUAAGUUGGGGACUAAGCUGCUUUUUAGUACUACUUGUCACCCCUAA